rnacentral:lncRNA from 1 species
GUGCCGCCUGUGCCAUCCAUAGUGGUGCCUCUGCAAAAUUCUGCUUCAAUUGCAACUCCGCAACCACCACUUCAACUAGAGCCGCAAGCACCUCCUCGAAGUUCGGAGAGGAGGCUGACUCAUCAGAGUCAUCCUAGGGCCCAGCAGUCGGCCUGGCAGCGAUCUCCAAGCCCACAAUCAGGCCAUGACUCAACCCCCAGA